rnacentral:sRNA from 1 species
GCCAGUUGUGGUGGUGCACACCUGUAAUCCCAGCAGCUGGGGAGGCUAAGGCAGGAGGAUCACAAGUUUGGAGCCAGCUUCAGCAAUAUAGUGAAGCCCUAAGCAACUUAGUGAGACCCUGUCUCAA